AAUUAGGUGAACACAACCUCAGAUGAACAACAACUCAUCAUGACACAUUACACUGUGUCAUGAUUUAUUUAACAAAAAUAAAGCCAAAAUGGAUAAGCUAUGUGUGAAAACUAAGUACACCCUUACUGCUUUGAUAUACAUUAAGAGGGUAAGUAGCAUAAAGGUGCUGAUAAUCAAAUAUCCUUGAUUAAUUGAUCCUUAGCAAGUUUG